AUCGAUCAUGAGCAGUCUGCUGAAGCUGUGAAUGAGAAAACACGAAACUGCGACACAGGCCGCAAAGUCCUUGUGGACAAUAUUCUUUCUCAUCUGUAAUUGACUUCCUUGGCGACUCCCACUGUAGAAUUUUAACCGAAAGUAGCCAUCGACAUUGUUAUAAACUUCUCCAUCGCAUGUGUAGCUCCACUGUCUGAGGUUGCUCUUUGUCACAUUCUAGAUUGCAAUCUCGUACAUGAUCACUAGUGUUGCUUCUAGUACCUGCUGGUGAUUUUGUGAAGAAACGCUCGGUGGUGCAGCUGAUCGAUAAGCUCAGCCCUGAACAACUUCACAUCUAGAUGUCAUCAGCUCGCUACCAAGCUCUUCAGAAUAGUGUUUGUAUCAGUAUUCUAUUUGUUGCAGUUUCUCAAUAGUGCUGAGGAAAGAUAGACUGGUCGAUCUGGUGCCAGCUCAAUCAGCCUAACGUGAAGCUUCACAGUGCGGAUCCUCAGUUGCUCGUCAUGGGGCUCAAAUUUGCAGUGCUUAGGGUUACUGCGGCUUUGGCAUGUGUGCUGAUGGUUCUAUUAAUGUGUUUUCAACCAGUAGCUGGUAAUGAACAGCGUAUGGGACGCAAACUCGCAGCCACCACGCUGAAGCAAUGCUUGGCUAAAGGAGGCGCCCGAACGGCGUUCCCUGGAACCUCGGAGUACAGCACCGCAAGGUUAGCGUACAAUUUGCGGGAAAGAUAUGCCCCUUCUGCGUUCGUCUUCCCGACUACUGUCGCUCAAGUGCAGAAUGCAGUGUUUUGCGCGAAACAAGUCGGCGUGGGAAUAGUUCCUCGCGGUGGUGGCCAUUCGUAUGAAGAUUAUUCCUUAGGUGGUCGGGACGGGGUGCUUGUGGUGGAUAUGGAGGGCUUCAAGCAGUUUAGUUACAACAAAGCUGCGAAAACUGCCGUCGUCGGCGCGGGCUUUCGCUUAGGGCCUCUCUACUUAGCUCUCUGGAAUGCUGGCAAAGUCACGAUUCCAGCAGGGAAUUGUCCAACCGUGGGCAUCGCUGGACACGCCUUGGGAGGCGGAUGGGGCUUCAGCUCCCGCAAAUUCGGUUUGGUCACGGAUAACAUACUGGAAGUCCAGCUGGUGGCAGCGAAUGGAACAGUAGUCACCGCGAACGCCCAGAAAAACAAGGACCUCUACUUCGCCAUCCGCGGGGCCGGUGCAACGUCUUACGGCAUCGUCACACAGUUCACCUUCCGGGUUCACGACGUUUCCGCACCGGUCACCCACUUCAAAUAUAGAUGGAACGACAAGGCGGUGUUGUUCAAGAAUUUCAAGUCGUUCCAGUCGUGGGGCCUGAAUGUACCUGCUGAGAUCUCCGCGGCAUUCUACAUGGAUCCAUCCGGCGUAAGCUGGCUGGAAGGGACCUACCUAGGGAAAAAAACCUCUCUCUUACCGUUGGUGAAGACGUUCCUCGCCUCAGCAGCGCCAAAUCCCACUCGCGUUGAGGAGGAGCUAAACUGGAUCCAACUGAUUCUUGUAAACUGGAACUACCCAUCCAACACGAAUCCCAACCAGCUCAACAACGUCCCCUUCACUACUAACACGUUCAAGGCGAAGUCCAUUUACGUGAACGGUCCGGGAUUGUCCGACGCAGGCAUCAAUGCCAUGAUCAAUGCCAUGAACACGGGGUCCAACGCUUAUUUCAUCUACGACCUCUACGGUUCCCAGUCGGCGAUCAACAAGGUCGUGCCCGGGGAAACCGCGUUUAUUCACCGCAACUCCCUGUACAGUAUCCAGAUGGUUGCAAGCUGGAGUAAUGACAACAACGCCGUGACACAAACUAGCUACAUCACGAGAUACUGGAAAGUGGUGCGGACUUACGCAACCGGACAGGCGUAUCAGAACUAUAUAGAUAGAGAUAUGCCUCUUAGCGCAUACUAUGGGUCAAGUCUAAGCACACUCAUUGCAGGCAAGAAAAAAUGGGACCCCCAAAACGUCUUCAACUUCCCCCAAAGCAUACCGCUCAAAUAGAAUACGGAAGCUUUUAGGUUCCGGAAAACUGUACCAUACGGUGUCCAACACCACCUUUCUUUUUCUUUGAAAUCUGCACCCAGUGUGAUGCCCCGCAGAGUAACCAGUUCCAGCGAGCUAGGCUUUCAGUGAACUGAGACAGGACAGGACCUCCGAUGAAAGCAUGUCGAGAGGCAACUAAAAGUCGGAGGGUGUUAUAUAGUGGUUUUAUGCAGUUGAGGACAGCGCAACCACGAGGGCCAUCACUCCUUGACAAGGUGCGGCUCUUGCCCUAUUUUGCUGUGCUACCACGGAUUGGUUAUACAGAAUGUUAAUUGUGAUUUCUAAUUAGCCCUUUUAAUCAAGUUGUGGUGUAAGUCGGGUUCUCUUCCGAGCAAUCGGAGCAAUGGAAGGUACUGGGCUAGGUUCAAACCAAGCAACAACAUGUCGUUGGUGGGGCAGUAUUUGAAUUGGAUCUUGUUGAGGGUGGCAAGUCGUCUGAUGAAGUGGUAGCAGAUGGCGGUAGGUUUGGCUCAAGAGUGAAACUUCGUGGUGUCUACCAAGGCAAGUGCCGAUUGGUUAUUACAAUGGAUUAGGAUUAUAAUUUUUAGCCCUUUGGUUUGGUGCAAAUCACAGAGCAAGUGUCAAUGCCAAAUGGCUUUGGAAGCAAUAAUAGCCAUAGCCAUGUACUUUGCUUUAGUACUUGAGAGAGCCCGAAUUGAUGGCUUUGUGUAAUAAGAAGAAAUAAUACCAUGUCGUAGAGUAACAUUUGUUGACUUUUCCAACCUAA